rnacentral:sRNA from 1 species
GCUGGGGGUGGUGGUGCAUGCCUAUAGUUCCAGCUACUCGGGAGGCUAUAGUAGGAGGAUAACUUGAGCCCAGGAGUUCAAGGCCAGCCAGAACAACAUAGUGAACACUUAUCU